CACGUAGGGGGCAAGCGUUGUCCGGAUUUAUUGGGCGUAAAGAGCUCGUAGGCGGUUCGGUAAGUCGGGUGUGAAACCUCCAGGCUCAACCUGGAGACGCCACCCGAUACUGCUGUGACUAGAGUCCGGUAGGGGAGCGUGGAAUUCCUGGUGUAGCGGUGAAAUGCGCAGAUAUCAGGAAGAACACCAGCGGCGAAGGCGGCGCUCUGGGCCGGAACUGACGCUGAGGAGCGAAAGCGUGGGGAGCAAACAGG
rnacentral:rRNA from 1 species